rnacentral:lncRNA from 1 species
AUCUUUUAUCCAAAUUCUUCUUUCUUAUAAAUCUUCCAUUACAACACAAGCUAGCAUGGAGUUUCGACGGAAAGGGUCACAAAUGUCCACAGACACCAUGGUUUCCAAUCCUAUGUUUGAUGCAAGUGAAUUUCCUGAUAACUAUGAAGCAGGAAGAGCUGAGGCUUGUGGGACACUGUGUAGGAUUUUUUGUAGCAAGAAGACUGGAGAAGAGAUUCUGCCAGCUUAUUUAUCCAGAUUUUACAUGCUUUUAAUUCAAGGUUUGCAGAUAAAUGAUUAUGUGUGCCAUCCUGUCUUGGCCAGCGUUAUUCUAAACUCUCCUCCUUUGUUCUGCUGUGACUUGAAAGGGAUUGAUGUUGUGGUUCCUUACUUUAUUUCAGCUCUUGAAACCAUUUUGCCUGACAGAGAACUCUCAAAAUUCAAAAGCUAUGUAAAUCCAACAGAAUUGCGAAGAUCCUCCAUUAAUAUCCUGCUUUCUUUGUUGCCCCUCCCUCAUCAUUUUGGCACAGUCAAAUCUGAGGUGGUCCUGGAAGGAAAGUUUAGUAACGAUGACAGCUCUUCUUAUGAUAAACCAAUAACUUUUCUGUCCCUGAAGUUGAGACUUGUGAAUAUAUUAAUAGGUGCCUUGCAAACUGAAACGGACCCCAACAACACCCAAAUGAUAUUAGGGGCAAUGUUAAAUAUUGUUCAAGAUUCAGCACUUUUGGAAGCCAUUGGUUGCCAGAUGGAGAUGGUAAGAAGCAUACAUGCAAUCUGUCAGAGAAUAUCACUUUUGAAUUUCAUGUAAAUUAUAUUCCAG